AAUGGCUUUACACAUUUACCCGACUCUGCACGAUGUUCGCCCGAUUACGGACGCGAGCGCUGAAAAGUAUUUAAACUAUUCAAAGCGCAAACGGACUUCCAAUAACGCGCGAAAGCGCGUGUGUCGCUCUGGAAUGGACGUCUCUACGAUGGAGCUAAGCACGUAAUUUCUGAGGAAAUAUUACAUAAUGGCAAUGAUAAGAACGGAUCCUCUCCAACCUACGAUCUACGAUGACACCUGAAGCUGCUGACUGCUAUUGGCUGUCUCUAACAGAGUUCGAUUAAACAAAAAUAUAAAUAUGUUGUAUCUAUUGUAUAUGAGUAAACUAUAAGUAACAUUCAA